rnacentral:rRNA from 1 species
AUGUAUCUUGAUCAUGAUGAGAGUUUCAAGCAAUUUGACUGGGAUGAUGUUGUCCAGUUUCCUGUAACAGAUCUGCCCACUGUUGUGAGUCCUAUGAAACCAAUGCAGACCAUCAAGGAGAAAGCACUGGACAAGCACAAACAGCAGAUGAAGAAGGAAGCAUUGGAGAAGCAUAUUAAGGAGGAAACAUUUGAAAAAAGGCAAUGUCAGUUUGUAACUCAUGACAACUUUGGAUAUGAAGCAGAGCAAGCAAUGGAAGAAACACUUGCACAACAAGAAGUAGAGCAAACAAAUGCAGAUGAGCAGCAAGCUGCAGAGGAUUUUGCAAAGGAGGAGCAAGAACCAGUAGUACAAGAAGAGGAGUUUGCAGAGGAGGAGCAAACUGAAGAGGAUGUUCCUGAGGAGGUCUCUGAUUUUGCAGAUGAGUUUGAAGAGGAAAAUGGUGGAGAACUUUCUGAUGUUGAAGGUAAUGGCAGUGAAGAGGGGUCUGAGUUUGCUGAUGAUAUUGCAGAUAGUGACUAUGAUGUGAGUGAUUUAGAUGAUGAUCUCAAAGAGGACACAGUUGAAGAGCCUGUAGAUGUAAACAUUAGAGCAAAGGCUGAUCCUAUACAAGAUUCAGAUGAAGAGGAACUGCAGCUACCAGAUUCUGAUGAUGAAGCAGGUGCAAAAUAUAAAUUCAAAGGAUUUACAAAAGAAGAUUUGCAUGAUCCACAGUUUAGGAUUGGGCAAGUCUUCCAGUCUCCUGAGUUGUUUAGGGAAGCAGUAAGAGCUUACAGUUGCAAAAACAGAUUUGACAAUAAAAUGCCAGUCAAUGACAGGAAAAGAAUUUCUGCCAAGUGUCAAGCUCACUGCCCAUGGAACAUAUGGUGCAGCUACGACAGCAGAACUAAUUGCAUGGUCAUCAAGAGGUAUAACAGUGAGCACAAAUGUUCCAAGAAAUGGAAGGUUAAAGCAUUUACCUCCAAAUUUCUUGCAUAG